UAGCCGCUGAGAGCAGCCCUAUGUUGAGGAGGAACACUAAUUAAGAUUAAACAAUCCCAACAAGAUUAUUUCUCCAGCUAAUUUCUCCAACGAUUGCAGGAGUUUACCCUGAACACUAAUUGAGAUUAAAGACCUGUUUCUCUAGCUAAUAGAUUAAUUUUCAAACUCUUAGCUAAUUUACAUCCAAUCCCCAACCUUGUACUCAACAAGCUAACCCAUGGCACCCACAACCUCUCUCUCUCCCCCC
rnacentral:lncRNA from 1 species